rnacentral:rRNA from 1 species
AGAGUUUGAUUAUGGCUCAGGAUGAACGCUGGCGGCGUGCCUAACACAUGCAAGUCGAACGGAGCUACUUUGAAGGAGACUUCGGUCAACGGAAGGGUAAGCGUUAGUGGCGGACGGGUGAGUAACGCGUGGAGAACCUGCCCUGUACAGGGGGAUAACAGUGAGAAAUCACUGCUAAUACCGCAUAAGCGCACAGUACCGCAUGGUACAGUGUGAAAAACUCCGGUGGUACAGGAUGGCUCCGCGUUGGAUUAGCCAGUUGCGGGUAACGGCCCACCAAAGCGACGAUCCAUAGCCGGCCUGAGAGGGUGAACGGCCACAUUGGGACUGAGACACGGCCCAGACUCCUACGGGAGGCAGCAGUGGGGAAUAUUGCACAAUGGGGGAAACCCUGAUGCCAGCGACGCCGCGUGAAGGAAGAAGUAUCUCGGUAUGUAAACUUCUAUCAGCAGGGAAGAUGAUGACGGUACCUGACUAAGAAGCCCCGGCUAACUACGUGCCAGCCGCGGC